UACAUUCUUUACUGCUUCCAAUUUUAGUUGUCUAUUUGAGUCAACAAAUUUUAAGGUGACAAUAGGAAAAUGGUAAUUUUCAAAGUGUGCGAUUAAUGAGAAUUUUGAAAGAAUAAAUCAAAUAAAAAAAUAAAGAAAAAAAGAUACUUAAUUAGAUACCAAAGGAGACCCAGACCUGCUCAUCCACAUGUGAAGAGAAGCAAAUACUUAAUUAGAACACAAGAAGGGACGUCAUACGUGCUCAUUCACAUGAGAAGGGACUCAAAUACUUAAUUAGAACGCAAGAGGGGACACCAAACCUACCCAUCCACAUGAGAAGGGACCCAAAUACUUAAUUAGAAAGGAAGAAAGAAAGCAGACAUGCUCAUCCACAUGAGAAAGGACCCAAAUACUUAACUAGAACGCAAGAGAGGACAUCAGAUUUGCUAAUCCACAUGAGAAGGGACAAAUACUUAAUUAGAACGUAAGAGAUGACACUAGACCUGCUCAUCCACAUGAGAAGGGAUCCAAAUACUUAAUUAGAACGCCAUGAGAAGGGAUCCAAAUACUUAUUUAGAACGCAAGAGGGGACACCAAACCUACUCAUCUACAUGAGAAGGGAUCCAAAUACUUAAUUUGAACACAAGAGGGGACACCAGACCUACUCAUCCACAUGAGAAGGGACUCAAAUACUUAAUUUGAACACGAGGGGACAUCAAACUUGCUCAUCCACGUGAAAAGGGAUCCAAUUCUAAAAAAGAAAAAAAAAGGAAAAAUAUACUUAAUUAAAACGCAAGAAGAGAAUCAGAGCUACUUAUCCACAUGAAAGAGGAC
rnacentral:lncRNA from 1 species